rnacentral:sRNA from 1 species
UGGGAACUUCUUCUUCCUUGGGUUCUUACGUUCAAAAAAAUGUAGAGUAGGAAAGUUCUUCUUCUUCCCCCUUUAAGGGGUGUUUUGUAGAAGCUAUGCUAAGACGAGGGGGCAUUCAACGUGAAGAAAUAGAUACAACUUGGAAGUUCGUACUAAGCAGAUGCUUGCUUCCAAAUGCCUUUGUCUAGGGUAUAUAUACUUGAUAAAUAAUGAACCAUGUUAUUCUUUAUGCAUGGCCUGCAUUUGUCUUUGACUUAUUUUAGUCAAGUGACUUUUGGUCAUCUUACCCUAUUCCGGAUUUUAAGGGGAAAUUUUUUAGAGAGCCACUUCUAUAAUUAUUGUGUUAGUGAAUUUAUGUGGGCCCUAGAAAAUAUUAUUAACAUUCACAUUUUUCACCCUUGAGGGCUUUUGUAAUCGUAAUACAUCAAGGCUUUUGUAACUAUGAUAAAGUUUAGGUUGAUGUUUGAUUGAAGGCUAGAUCUAUAUAUCGUAUUUGUGUUUCUUCAAACUAAUUUGUUAGACUGUGCUUUACAAUAUUUUCUAUGCUAAUUGUAUAGAUCUUAACUCAUCCUCUAGGGUCCUCUCACUGCAGUUAUGGAUUUCAUGAUUCAUGAUUGACUAUCAAGAGAACCAAAUUUCACUUAUAUUUGUUUCAAUAUGAC